rnacentral:rRNA from 1 species
GGUUUGAUUCUGGCUCCAGAUUGAACGCUGGCAGGAUGCUUUACACAUGCCCAAGUCCGGGCAGCGGCACGGACUUCGGUCUACGGUGGCGAGUGGCGAACGGGUGAGUAAUGUAUCGGAACGUGCCUAGUGGCGGGGGAUAACUACGCGGCGUAGCUAAUACCGCAUACGCCCUUCGGGGAAAGCGGGGGACCUUCGGGCCUCGCACUAUUAGAGCGGCCGAUAUCAGUUAGCUGAUUGGUGGGGUAACGUACCAAGGCGACGAUCCGUAGCUGGUUUGAGAGGACGACCAGCCACACUGGGACUGAGACACGGCCCAGACUCCUACGGGAGAGCAGCAGUGGGGAAUUUUGGACAAUGGAAACACAGUCCAGCCAUCCCGCGUGUGCGAUGAAGGCCUUCGGGUUUGGCGGGAAAGAAACGGCACGGGAUAAUACGUGCAACUGACGUACCGCAGAACAAGCACCGGCUAACUACGUGCCAGCAGCCGCUGCGGUAAUACGUAGGGUGCAAAGCGUUAAUCGAGUUACUGGGCGUAAAGCGUGCGCAGGCGGUUCGGAAAGAAGAUGUGAAAUCCCAGAGCAACUUUGGAACUGCAUUUUUAACUACCGAGCUAGAGUGUGUCAGAGGGAGGUGGAAUUCCGCGUGUAGCAGUGAAAUGCGUAGAUAUGCGGAGGAACACCGAUAGUGAAGGCGGCCUCCUGGGAUAACACUGACGCUCAUGCACGAAAGCGUGGGGGAGCAAACAGGAUUAGAUACCUGGUAGUCCACGCCUAAACGAUGCCAACUAGCUGUUGGGGCCUUCGGGCAACCCAGUAGCGCAAUAACACUUUGUCAGAGAAGUUGACCGCCUGGGGAGUACGGUCGCAAGAUUAAAACUCAAAGGAAUUGACGGGGACCCGCACAAGCGGUGGAUGAUGUGGAUUAAUUCGAUGCAACGCGAAAAACCUUACCUACCCUUGACAUGUCUGGAAUCCCGAAGAGAUUUGGGAGUGCUCGCAAGAGAACCGGAACACAGGUGCUGCAUAGCUGUCGUCAGCUCGUGUCGUGAGAUGUUGGGUUAAGUCCCGCAACGAGCGCAACCCUUGUCAUUGAAUUGCUACGAAGGGCACUCUAAUGAGACUGCCGGUGACAAACCGGAGGAAGGUGGGGAUGACGUCAAGUCCUCAUGGCCCUUAUGGGUAGGGCUUCACACGUCAUACAAUGGUCGGGACAGAGGGUCGCCAACCCGCGAGGGGGAGCCAAUCCCAGAAACCCGAUCGUAGUCCGGAUCGCAGUCUGCAACUCGACUGCGUGAAGUCGGAAUCGCUAGUAAUCGCGGAUCAGCAUGUCGCGGUGAAUACGUUUUCCCGGGUCUUGUACACACCGCCCGUCACACCAUGGGAGUGGGUUUUACCAGAAGUAGUUAGCCUAACCGUAAGGAGGGCGAUUACCACGGUAGGAUUCAUGACUGGGGGUGAAGUCGUAACAAGGUAG